rnacentral:rRNA from 1 species
GACGAACGCUGGCGGCGUGCCUAAUACAUGCAAGUCGAACGCAGUUGCGAACGGGUGAGUACCGCGUAGGUACCUGCCUUAUAGCGGGGGAUAACUAUUGGAAACGAUAGCUAAUACCGCCUACUUUGAGAUGGACCGGCGUUGUAUUAGCUAGUUGGUGGGGUAAAGGCUCACCAAGGCGACGAUACAUAGCCGACCUGAGAGGGUGAUCGGCCACACUGGGACUGAGACACGGUCCAGACUCCUACGGGAGGCAGCAGUGGGGAAUAUUGCACAAUGGGCGAAAGCCUGAUGCAGCCAUGCCGCGUGUAUGAAGAAGGUCUUCGGGUUGUAAAGUACUUUCAGCGGGGAGGCGUUACCCGCAGAAGAAGCACCGGCUAACUCCGUGCCAGCAGCCGCGGUAAUUC